GCAAGAUAAAGAGGGUGUUUUCCCCCUGCAACCUGAUCUGCUCUCCUCCCUCGGGGAGGAGGAACUGAUCCUAACAGAAGCACUGGUGGGACUAAGCGGCCUGGAAGUCCAGAGAUCAGGCCCCCAGUACACGUGGGAUCCGGACACGCUCCCCCACCUUUGUGCCCUCUAUGCUGGCCUCUCCCUCCUUCAACUGCUAAGCAAGAAUUCCUAAUGCACCUUCUUUGCCUGCUGCCCUAAAGCCUUCCCAGCCUUACUGUGCUCCAUCUGUAACACUGCAAGACACUACAGAGCCUCCAGGCUGAGGACAACUGAAAUGCCAGCUCAAAAAUCAGUCUCCAAGUUCCUUCUGCCUCACCAUCUAUCUCUCUCCUUCUGUCCUCCAGCUCAGCACCCACUAAGCCCAUCUCCUGAUGCUUAAAUCCUGAAGAUACAGAAUCAUUCAAACCC
rnacentral:lncRNA from 1 species